rnacentral:misc_RNA from 1 species
GCGAGUAUGGCCCUCACGGGUCUAAUCCACCACAAACACCUUUGUGAACCAGUCAAGGGGACUCGGCCGUGAAAGCCCAGGCGAUUAGCGGAAGGGCCCUCCUUUGCAAACCCGUUUAGAAGUCUUGAAAGUACUUUUGUAUAAUCUAGUA